UGCGUAGGUGGCGCUGUAAGUGGGGUGUGAAAUCCCGGGGCUUAACUCCGGAACUGCAUUUCAUACUGCGGUGCUUGAGGACUGGAGAGGAGACUGGAAUUUACGGUGUAGCAGUGAAAUGCGUAGAGAUCGUAAGGAAGACCAGUGGCGAAGGCGGGUCUCUGGACAGUUCCUGACACUGAGGCACGAAGGCCAGGGAGGCAAACG
rnacentral:rRNA from 1 species